CAGCGACAAGGGGGAUGCAGCCAGAUGGGGGUGAGGGGCGACCUGGCCUAGGCCCUGCAUGGAUGGGGAAGGUUGCACCAGAAUCCUUGGGCUCCCCCAGGAGGCCAGUCCUGUGCCUCCUUCAAGCUUGGGGGGGUCAGUGUAGGAAGGACAUUGGCCAGCUGGAGAAGGGUCAGAGAAGGGUCCAGGGGCCACGUUGUGGCAGGAUCCAGUGAAGAGAAGAGAAGGCCCUGGAGAUACAAGGUGGCUGGGCUGAAGUAUCCCCUGCGCUUUAUUCUGCUGUUCCCAAAGGCAGAGCCAGGAGCAGCCAGUGAAAGAUCCAGAGGAGACUUCAGAAAACCCUUCUGAGCCAGCAGAGCCGUCCCAGUGUGGAGUGUGCUGCCUCUGGAGGAGGGGGUGCCAAAGACAGGCUAUGAUCGUCUCCUGUCCCAGGUUCAAGUCUCCCAGGCUCCUUCCAAGUGGUCCAGCUGAUGAUGGAGAAGCAGGGUGGACCCAGACUGUUGGGGAUCCAGGAAGGGAGGGGCCCAUCCUCUCCAUCCAUGGGAGCCUGUGUGUCAGUCGCCAGAUCAGCCUGAUGUCAUGUCUCUGCAGCGGUCGCAGACAAACGUCUUCAUUGUCAGUGAGGCAGGGUCCCAGCCGGUGGCAGCCCGGAGAUCUUGGGGGCUGAGAGAGUGGUGAGGAAGGCAGGCUUCCCGCUCGUGUGGAGGGAGGGAUUCAGAAAGCACUGAGGCCCAGAGGGGACAAGGGAACCUGCUUGCCAGGGGCGGGGGAGCCAGGAUUCCAGGCCUCCAAGCUGAGAGCUUCCACUGCAAAUCCCCCCCAAAGGGAAGGGUAAUACGCAGUGUGGACAGAGCUGGGAACCAGCAGCGCCCCUCUCCCAUCACAUUCAUGGCAGAGAGUGGGAAGCAUUGACAGGGCACAGAGAUGUCCUCCGCCCCUGCGCCAGUGCCCCUGCCUACAAACGGUGCCAAGGAUGCCUGGACUCCCUGUCCAUGCCCAUAUACCCUCCUCCAGGCCUCCUCCAGCCUUGGGGGUGUCCCUGAGGGGUCCAGAGCAUCUUCCCCAUGACAUCUCACUGAGAAGCCAUGAACCUCAGCCCAAGUUCACUGCCUGGGUGACCUUGGGCAAGCCCCUUCCCCUCACUGGGCCUCGGUGUCAUCUAUAAAAUGGUAGCCCCAGGUUUCCUCUAAGCUCUGGAUCCUGAUGUGUCAGCCCUGAGUGUUUCUUGUCCUUGGGUGGUUUCCAGGAAAGGAAGACUUGUUUUCUAUGUCUAAGCCAGACAGGAAAAAAACACAGAGGAAAAAACAGCUGGACGCCUCAUGACCUCAGAGAUUCCCCCUCCAGCAGCUGAGGAACUGACCUUUUCUGUGGAGAAAGAAAAGGCUGGGAUACAGCUGAUCUGCCCCCUCACCUCGCCCUGGGGCCA